GGGUGCUCAGAUGCUUCCACCACAUUCUAUUGGUGAUUCCAGCCUGGCCAAGAUUCAAAGCCAGAGGGGCUGUCAGAAGGUGUGCAUAUUGGAGGUGUGGUUAAGUAUACUGGAGGUGUGGUUAAGUAUACUGGAGGUGUGGUUAAUUGUGUUGGAGGUGUGGUUAAGUAUACUGGAGGUGUGGUUAAUUGUUUUGGAGGUGUGGUUAAGUAUACUGGAGGUGUGGUUAAUUGUAUUGGAGGUGUGGUUAAUUGUACUGGAGGUGUGUUAAUUAUACUGGAGGUGUGGUUAAUUGUGUUGGAGGUGUGUUAAUUAUACUGGAGGUGUGGUUAAUUGUAUUGGAGGUGUGUUAAUUGCUGAGUAGUUUCCAUGAGCAUUUCCCAGAUCCAGCUAUUGCUUUGUGUUGAGCCCACCUGCCCUGUGGUUAGUGAGGUGACUCUAUUAAGAUCCAUGUCAAGACCUUGAAUUAGCAACUGGCAGUGCAAAAUGGAUUUUAUUUACCUGACAAAACUGAACCAAAGGAGAGUCAAAUUUGUAACUAGGUCCCCUUCGCUAGAACCAUGGUUGCUGAGUGCAGAUGUCACGGUCCAGAGCUCCACCGGACAGCCCACUGGGCCAAGGUUGGCAGGCCACAGAGGUCAGAAACAGUUUUCUGGCUGGUUUGAUAGCUACAAGGGGAUUGGAGGAAUUAAGGGCGUCUUUUGUAAAGGCGUGAAGCCUUCCUAUGACGAAUGAGGGCCCCUUAGCCUGACUAUUCCUCCUUUUUAUCGGGAGUAUCUGGGCACUGUCUGACUCUGUGACCCACGAGUCAGGAUGGGGAGGCAUUCAGGGAAAUCCCCUUUGAAGCCAAAGCAGCUAAAAUAUAAGUCAAGGUAAAAAUUAAACCGGCUGCUAAUUCCUUUUCUGUGAAGUACCUUUCAAUCCUCGUUAAAAGGAUUAAUUCUUCAAAGCAAGGAGUCUUGUUUGCUAAAUUCUUGCGAGAGGCAUGAACAGAGACAGGACAGCUGGAUUGUCAGUUGCAGGCAGAAGCCCAGUGUGGUCUGAACUCCCACUGGGCAGCAUCAUCCCUGGGGUGACCCCCACCCCCAC
rnacentral:lncRNA from 1 species